ACGAACGCUGGCGGCGUGCUUAACACAUGCAAGUCGUACGGUAAGGCCCUUUCGGGGGUACACGAGUGGCGACCGGGUGAGUAACACGUGAGUAACCUGCCCACAACUUUGGGAUAACGCUAGGAAACUGGUGCUAAUACUGGAUAUGUGCUCCUGCUGCAUGGUGGGGGUUGGAAAGCUCCGGCGGUUGUGGAUGGACUCGCGGCCUAUCAGCUUGUUGGUGGGGUAGUGGCCUACCAAGGCGGCGACGGGUAGCCGGCCUGAGAGGGUGACCGGCCACAUUGGGACUGAGAUACGGCCCAGACUCCUACGGGAGGCAGCAGUGGGGAAUAUUGCACAAUGGGCGCAAGCCUGAUGCAGCAACGCCGCGCGCGGGAGGACGGCCUUCGGGUUGUAAACCGCUUUCAGCAGGGACGAAGCUUUUUGUGACGGUACCUGCAGAAGAAGCACCGGCUAACUACGUG
rnacentral:rRNA from 1 species